GUGCCAGAAGCCGCGGUAAUACGAGGGAUGCAAGCGUUAUCCGGAAUUAUUGGGCGUAAAGAGUUUGUAGGCGGUCAAGUAUGUUUAAUGUUAAAUCUUAAAGCCUAACUUUGAAAUUGCGUUAAAAACUGCUUGUCUUGAGUAUGGUAGGGGUAAAGGGAAUUCCCAGUGUAGCGGUGAAAUGCGUAGAUAUUGGGAAGAACACUAAAUAGCGAAGGCACUUUACUAGGCUAAUACUGACGCUGAGAAACGAAAGGUAAGGUAGCGAAACGGAUUAGAUACCCGUGUAGUCUUACCCGUAAACUAUGGACACUAAAUGGUACUUGAUGUGCUGUUGUAGCUAACGCGUUAAGUGUCCCGCCUGGGGAGUAUGCUUGCAAAAGUGAAACUCAAAGAAAUUGACGGGA
rnacentral:rRNA from 1 species